rnacentral:rRNA from 1 species
CCUACGGGAGGCAGCAGUGAGGAAUAUUGGUCAAUGGGCGGGAGCCUGAACCAGCCAAGUCGCGUGAGGGAAGACGGUCCUAUGGAUUGUAAACCUCUUUAGGCGGGGAGCAAUGCCGGGCACGCGUGCCCGGAGGGAGAGUACCCGCAGAAUAAGCAUCGGCUAACUCCGUGCCAGCAGCCGCGGUAAUACGGAGGAUGCGAGCGUUAUCCGGAUUGAUUGGGUUAAAAGGGUGCGUAGGCGGAUUUUUAAGUCAGCGGUAAAAUGUCCGGGCUCAACCCGGGCCGGCCGUUGAAACUGGGGAUCUUGAGUGGGCGAGAAGUAUGCGGAAUGCGUGGUGUAGCGGUGAAAUGCAUAGAUAUCACGCAGAACUCCGAUUGCGAAGGCAGCAUACCGGCGCCCGACUGACGCUGAGGCACGAAAGCGUGGGGAUCGAACAGGAUUAGAUACCCCAGUAGUC